ACAUUACAUUUUGAGAGGGUUAAAACCCUGCCAACCUGCAUAACCUUGCGAAGGUGGUAUUAUGAUGUGGCUUAUAAGCAAAAAAAAGGUCCUUU
rnacentral:ncRNA from 1 species